rnacentral:rRNA from 1 species
UGGGGGAUAUUGCAUAAUGGGCGAAAGCCUGAUGCAGCGACGCCGCGUGGGGGAUGAAGGCCUUCGGGUUGUACACUUCUUUUGCUCUGAACAAGGCGCACCAUGGGGUGUGUUGAGUGUAGGGGUUGAUUAGCGCCGGCUAACUACGUGCCAGCAGCCGCGGUAAUACGUAGGGCGCGAGCGUUGUCCGGAAUUAUUGGGCGUAAAGGGCUUGUAGGUGGCUGGUUGCGUCUGUCGUGAAAGCUCAUGGCUUAACUGUGGGUUUGCGGUGGGUGCGGGCUGGCUUGAGUGCAGUAGGGGAGGCUGGAAUUCCUGGUGUAGCGGUGGAAUGCGCAGAUAUCAGGAGGAAUACCGGUGGCGAAGGCGGGUCGCUGGGCUGUUACAGACACUGAGGAGCGAAAGCAUGGGGAGCGAACAGG